CGGCUCCGAGCCAUGGCCAGCCUGAUGCACGUUACAAAACCGAACAGCGUGCUUGCACUGGUGGGUUACUAAAGCUAGUUUUGUGUAGGAAGUGUCACACUUUGUCAUCGCCUGAGUCUGCAGCAGGGCCUCUCCCUGAAGGUGUGUGCAGGGAACGACCUGCUGCGAUCCCCUCGCUGACAGGAGGCAUUGCCCUGCCCGAGUCACCCACGUGCCCGACGCUUCCAGCAGCAGUUGCUUCCUGCAUUGUUCCAUCGCUCACGAGCACUGGAAAGGAGCAGCCUGGUGCUUCCUCGCUGACUCAGGCCCUGGGGAGACCAGGAUGAUUGGAGUCACAUCGCGCUCCCCCUUCAUGUGCAUGCAAGCAAAGACUGUCACAAACACUGGAUCAGAGCACAUAGCCUAGAAAGACGCUGAAUCUCCUCUUAAAGGCUGAAGAUGGAUCAGGCCAGCAUUUCCCUGCUCACCAGCCUCCUGCACGAGCUGGCAGAGGUUUCCCAAAUGCGAUUCAGCAAGGAGAGGUACCAGAGAGGGGUGGGAUGCAGCUGAGUAAAGCUGCAGACUCUGGUCCUCAUGGUAUAGGAACAUGUGAAGACAAAAGCCCAGAAAGAGCAUUUGGGUCAGCAAAGCCCCAAAUCUCCCUGACUUUGUUCACCCCCUAGAAUUACAUAUUCACAACCAGGGCCCCGUGUGUUUCGUGCAGGGUAACUGGAGCUGGCUAUCCAGGCUGAAGGUUAAGAAGACUGCAAGUGGUGGAUUUGUAUCAAAACCAGCUCAGUUACCCUAUCUGGAAGCGGGACAACAGUGAAAUCAGAAAUUACAGGCUAACUGUCUUUGUAUCUGCAGAUGUAGCUCUACUGUCACUGCGAGCUGUUCCAGGAUUAGCAGGUAGCAGCGUUCACCACAGGUGCUCCACAUCUCCUCCAUGCCCUAACCAGAAGACCUGUUUACGGACAGGGAAACGGAGCCAACGUGCGAUGAUCCUAGUGCCACAAACCAGUGGCAGGCCAUCCAGAGCCCCCGGUUAGACCCAGCAGACCUAGUAACUUCUGCAGCUAUUACAAGCGGGAAGAAAGGGCAGGAGUGCUCGUAGGGGCCUAAUUGGAAACAGGUGAGUCACUGGAAACCUUUCUGUCCCUUCAGCAGGCUGUACAUGACGACUGCAAAUAGUCGGGGCCCAACUUCUCUAGGAUGUAUAGCUACAAGGAAGGAAUGAGGCACGAAGCUUGGGAAUCAAAAAUCCUUUCCCUGUCUGCAUCUGCCUGAGAAAUGGAAAAAGAAAGGGCAGCUGGUUUGUGAAUGCUUCCUUGCUAGAACUGUGGAUUUGAAAUCUCUGUCAUUGAUUAAAGAGGAGAAUGCAAUUGCACAUGCCAUUAAUUAUUACUGAUAAACCGAAGUAGUGGAGUCAAAUAAAAAUAUCCUGCCCUAUGAUCAGAUUCUGGCAAAAAGAAAGACCCAGGAGCCUCCAGCCCAUUAGCAUUUCCCUUUUUUUGUGUGUGUGUGUGAAAUAUGUGUCUGAAUCGCUAGGUCUCCAAACCCGGCGUGUACUCAGAGUAUGUGAUGUCUAUAGGUGCAGAUCAAGGGAGAUGAACUUUAGCUACACAGACAGCAAAAGGCAGCUUACAGUUCCUUUAACAUGUGACCAGUCCCAAUUAUGGCUUCUUCCAUAUGACAUCAGUAUGCGAUGGAGGAUCGCACUUUUUUUUUUCUUGCCAGAGGCAAAUGAAUACAUUAUCCAGCAGUGAGGCGUGGGGCAAGCGGAUGCGUAACUCUGGGGUGAUUUGGAUUCCGCGCUCGCGCGGGGGUGUGAGCCAACCUCAGAAGUCAUUUUCACUGAUGCUGACACAUAAGGCAUCCCUCAGAGACCUGUCUAUCAAACUGCAACAUGCUAUGCAGAAAAAUUAGAUUACUCAUGCUACAAUAAAGAAGGGAAGAUGACAAUGAUGAAAAAAAAAAAAGGACUUCAAAAUAUAACAGAUAUUUAUGAAAUGAAUAAAAAUCCUAACGAUGGGAAAGUAUCCUAGAGACUUUUUAUUUAUUUGUUUUAGCUCUCGCAAAGCAUUUCAAGGAGAGCUAGUUGGAAAGACCCUAUUAAUUCAGACACUGCCUCUGGAAAAAACACCACUUCAUCAUGAUUGUCACAUUACUGUACUUGUGAAAUAUCAUCUUAAAUACUCAUUAUGAUUUUGCUGCUGGUCUUGCUGCAGUCAGCACCAGGGCUUCCUUUGGCUCUGGUAAGUGCAGGAUCAGGCCCUCUCCCUCUCUUUCUCUCCCUCUGAAUUGCAAAUGGAUUGUUCACGUGUCAGCUCAGUAACUAGGCAAAGUUCACCGUGCUCAGUUCAAAGCAUGCAAGAUGAAGCUCAAGGCAUUUCACUCACAGUAUUUGCAGAGUUCCUCGGGUCUACAAAAGUGUUAAAGUGGUUUAAUACAAAAUCCAUAAGACAAACAUUAUGCAGCUAUGUGUGAACCCCUGUCCAAUAAAAUCUAUGUCUUUGGGAAAAAAAUACAAAGUAGUAAAACAUACUUAGUAAAGAAAAGAAAAGGCUAUGUGAAGCUUAGUAAAAUCCCAUAAAACAGAAUGCCGAACAGCUUCAGGAAGGGAGAUUUAAAAUAAAUCUGCAGAAGAACAUGCACACACACACACAGAGCCCGUAGCUGGAAAUGGAUCUGGACAAGUGCCGAGGUUAGAACAUCUCAGACUGCACUGUGGGACUGGUUUUACAAUAUCAGAUAAUGAAAGGUUUGGCUGAAUGCUGUUUUUUCUUCUCUAGUAAUAACAAACCUAUGCCGAGGCUUCUGUGGUAUUCCUUGAGUUAUUCCCCAGGAAUGCUAUCUGGGAAAGCUAACAGAUUUUAAACUCCACCUGCCCUGACUCAUCUAUUAGCCGCACUGCUCUCAGCUGCAUAUUCUGUUUUACUUCUUGUUUCUGAAGGAGCCAGUUGUUGUAUGUUGGUUUGAUUUGUGAAGCAGUUCCAGCCCCUUUCCCAGGGGGUUUACUUUCCUGUCUUGAUUGUCUCCUCCAAAUAUUUCUUCCCAAAGAUAAGCUUUGGUUCCUGUCCAAACCAGAAGAGGAGGACCAUAAGCUCUCCUGUGGCCCUCCAUCUUGUGCAGCCUCAUUCUCCCAGCGUGUGACACUGCUAUGCCAAGUGGUGUGGAUCAACCAGACGGCAGGCUUUAUGCCUGCCUAGGAGUUUUGGAGGUCUGGGUUUUUUUUUGGCUAUGGCUGCUUAAUAGAGACGUGUGAUUGCAACAUGACCACACAUAGUGUAAGCACGCAGAAAUAUAGGUCUCUUUAAAAUUGUCAGGAGCAAAUAUGAUCAGAUCUGGUUCUUGAUCUCAUUACUGUCUGAAAGAUUUGGCUGGCAUUUUUAAAUGCCAUGAUUUAUGUUCUUCACCUUAACACGGCCCUUGGUAGUGUAAACCCAGUAACUCUAUUAUUCUCCAGGGCAACUUCUAAGAAUCUGAUUGGAGAAUUUUCACAACACUGUGUCUGUAAGAAAAUAUUAACAUGGAUUAAGACAAGUUGAUAGAUAUUAAACCAGGCUAUAGAAUGAGAACCAGUGAGAAUAAAUCAAAUAACUUUGCCUAACUACAGAAAGUAUUUGUAAAGCCCUGUAAGGUUUCCAUUUCCUACAGCCACCUGCCAUCUCAAAUGCCCCUAAUCAGUCACAGAUGUUGGAUACCAACCUGCUAACCCUAUGGCUUUGAGAGAAAAUAUUGCACUUUGUAAACUCAUUCUUGGGUAUUUCCUUAAUUUUUCUUAAACUAAACUUUCAUCCCUUAUUUUCCACUUAAAUGUAAUGAGUUAUAUCAACUCUGACAUUUUGCCCUGCUUACUCUUACAGUUCUGUUUAGCUACCUCUCGAAGACCUUAGCUUCUUUUUUCUUUUUUUUUUUUUAAUCAUUAGGGUACGUUUUUACUUCACAUCUCACGAUCGCCUUCCUGGCACUGAGGAAUCCAGCAAAAUACAGAGUUUAGACUUUUUCUGUAAUCAGUUCCCAACAGCAAAGUGCAUGUUCUUCUGUUCUUAACUGAUUUUUAUCUCCAUUAUGAAGAUAUAUCAAUUACGGAGCUUUUCUGAAGUAAUUUGAAAACAACAGCAAAAAGGUAUCAAGAAUAAAAUAAAAAUUCCACUCCUUAAGAAACAAGAGACAUUUUAGGAGCCUCAUCCAGCUCCCACUGGAAUCAAAAGCAAGAAUUUCACAGAUGAGGGAAGGUACCAAAACAGGCCACCCUGCCAAAGACCGUUAGCUGCUGUUAGGAUAUACCAGUACUGAAGCACGACGGUGGGUUUGGCUCGGCUCUGGAAGGAAGCAUUAUUCCACUUCAGCUUGUGAAGACAGAAUGGGAGUGAGAGUUGUAAUGGAGGUAGGAAGCAGACUGGAUUUUAUUAGUCUUCCAUCAUCUUUAAGAGAUCUCUAACCAGAUCAGGUUUCAACCUCUCCCUCCACUCUUGUGUCAACCUUUGGUUCUGUUUUUGCUGGAGGAUAAGUUUCAUUAUAUUAAUAAGCAGCACAAGUGGUUCCAAUUGUGGAAGAACCACUCGGAGCUGUCAGAAAUGAUCAGAGGAGAAGUUUCAACCUUUCCAUGAUCACAGCCUCUUCUUCUGGUGCCUCAACUCAGCACCUCCCUGGUGCGCUUCACAUUGCUCAGCAACCAUGACAAUAAUAAAAGGUACAUUUACAUUUCAGUGAGUGUAGAUUAUUUUAAGGAACUUUAUUCUCUAAUCAUAGUAGUACAGCAAUGCUCAUAAACCAGAUGCUAAUGGGAAUAAUUCAGCUAACAUCCAAACUACUGGCUGGAAGACUAGAUCUAGGCACGUACUUGGAUGAAACUAUUCAUCUUCAACCUUCUACUGCCGUCACAUUUCAAACACAAACACCUGUAAUCAUGCCACUGAGUUUGCGUUUCUUAUUACUAAUACAGAGGUGAUGAGAAAAACUCACAAAAAUACCCCAAAAGCUGAAACUGUUUGAACUGUAUCAUGGAGUGAUCGCUUACUGCUUACCAGCAAUAAUGCUAGUAUUUGUCUCCCUCAUUUCUCAAGGAAUGCAUUUUAGUUAGAAAUUACACAAUCCCUAUUUGGGUGAAAAUACUACCAGAUUAACUUUGCAGACAGGAAAGCGAAGCUGCAGGGCUGGGGACUGGGUUCAUGGAUCCACCAGGAAAUGACAGAGCCCUGCUUCUCCUCAACAGGUUCCUCCACUGCCCUGGGAGGAACUGAGUGAAGUUUAGUUUUCAAAUUAGACUCACCUGGGACUAGUCACUGAAAUGUCAUCCAUGAGAUGGAACAAAAAAAAAAAGAGGGGAGAAAUGUAAAAGGGAAUCUUUGUAGCCAGGACUACCUGACUCUCCCACAGUAGGAGACACAGGAAUACCGUUUCAUGUCAUGGAGAUGUAGUUAAAAUGCAGACUGCAUAUCCUUGUUCUCAGAAUUUGAGAGGUGUGGUUUAUGCAUGUGGACAAGCCAUCGUUCCUCCCUUUGAUCUAUCACUUGAUGUACAGAAAGGCUUUUAUGUGCUAGUCCCAUAUAAUGGAUAAUUUAGUCUGAAACCAUUAUGAAAAGUAUUACACUUUGGGUACAUAUGCUUCAAUUACUCUUGAAAGUACAUGGAAAUAUUUUAUGACAUUCACAUAUAUUUCAAGGUAAGAAAAAAAAACAAACAACAAACCCAAACCAGAAUUUUUGUUUACCAUUCAAACAAAUUUGUUCUCCCAAGGCAAGUUUAUAUGUAUUUUAAAAUAAUUCUGCCAUUGUAUGAAAUAUAUUUUAAGGCAGAAUGUAACUAGUAUUUUUGAAUGUUAAAUAGGAAAAAUGUUAAAGUCAUCAUUCAUUAAAACUACUAAUGGUAUGUAUUGCUCUUUAGCUGUGUAUUUUUAUUCUGUUUAUGAAUAAAACUACUUAACGUAAAACGUAA